rnacentral:rRNA from 1 species
AUGCAGCUCGCCGCUCUGUGCACCGACCCCUUCGUGCUCUCCUGCACCCUCCUGUGCCUCCUGCUCCACCUAGCGCUACGCCACUCCCUGAACCGCAGCUCCCGGCUCCCGCCGGGACCUCCGGGCGUCCCCAUUCUCGGCGCCAUGCCGUUCGUCGGCCCGGCCCCGCACACCGGCCUCGCGGCGCUGGCGCGCAAGUACGGCCCCGUGAUGUACCUGAGGAUGGGCACCUGCGGCGUGGUGGUGGCCUCGUCGCCGUCGGCCGCGCGGACGUUCCUCAAGGCGCUGGACGCGCGGUUCGCGAACCGGCCGGCGGUGGCCAGCGCGGCGGACAUCACGUACGGGCGCCAGAACAUGGUGCUCGCCGACUACGGGCCCAAGUGGAAGCUGAUGCGGAAGCUGUCGAGCGUGCACCUGCUCGGGGCGCGCGCGGUCGCGGACUGGGCGAGCGUGCGCCGCGACGAGGCCGGCCGCGCCCUGUGCGGCAUGGCGGAGGCCGCGGAGGCCGGGCGGGCCGUGGUGGUGCCGGAGGUGCUGGUGUGCGCGCUGGCCAACAUCGUGGGGCAGAUCACGGUGAGCAAGCGGGUGUUCGACGGGCAGGGCGACGAGUCCAGCAGCUACAAGGAGAUGAUCGUGUCGCUGCUGACCGGCACGGGGCUGUUCAACAUCAGCGACUUCGUGCCGGCGCUGUCGCGGCUGGACCUGCAGGGGGUGCAGGCCAGGCUGCGCCGGGUGCACCGCCAGUUCGACGGGCUCAUCACCAAGCUGCUGGCGGAGCACGCGGCAACGGCUGAGGAGCGCGCCCGGGAGGGCCGGCUGGACUUCGUGGACAGGCUCCGCGCCAGCAGCGGCGAGGACGGCGAGACCAUCACCGAGGUCAACAUCAAGGGCCUCAUCUUCGACAUGUUCACGGCCGGCACGGACACGUCGUCGAUCAUCGUGGAGUGGGCAAUGGCGGAGAUGAUCAACAACCCGUCUAUCAUGGCGCGCGCCCAGGAGGAGAUGGACCGUGUCAUCGGCCGUGACCGCCGCAUCGAGGAAUCCGACAUCGCCAACCUCCCCUACCUGCAGGCCAUAUGCAAAGAGGCCAUGCGGCUCCACCCCUCCACGCCGCUCAGCCUGCCUCACUUCUCCUUCGAGGAGUGCGAGGUAGACGGCCACCACGUCCCCGCCAACACGCGGCUCCUCAUCAACAUCUGGGCAAUCGGCCGCGACCCGGCGGCGUGGGAGGACCCCCUGGAGUUCCGGCCGGAGCGGUUCCUCUCCGGGCCGGCGGCCAAGAUCGACCCGAUGGGGAACAACUUCGAGCUGAUCCCGUUCGGCGCCGGCAGAAGGAUAUGCGCCGGGAAGCUGGCUGGAAUGGUGUUUGUGCAGUACUUCCUGGGAAUGCUGGUGCACGCGUUCGAGUGGCGGCUGCCGGACGGCGAGGAAAAGGUGGACAUGGCUGAGACCUUUGGGCUGGCGCUCCCCAAGGCCAUCCCGCUCAAGGCCAUCGUCACCCCGCGGCUCGUGCCGGCCGCCUACACAUGA